rnacentral:rRNA from 1 species
UGGGGAAUAUUGGACAAUGGAGGAAACUCUGAUCCAGCAAUUCUGUGUGUGUGAAGAAGGUUUUAGGACUGUAACACACUUUUCGUAGGGAAGAAAAAAAUGACGGUACCUACAGAAGAAGCAACGGCUAAAUACGUGCCAGCAGCCGCGGUACUACGUAUGUUGCGAGCGUUACCCGGAAUUAUUGGGCUUAAAGGGCAUCUAGGCGGUAAGACAAGUUGAAGGUGAAAACCUGUGGCUCAACCAUAGGCUUGCCUACAAAACUGUUGAACUAGAGUACUGGAAAGGUGGGUGGAACUACACGAGUAGGGGUGAAAUUCGUAGAUAUGUGUAAGAAUGGCGAUGAUGAAGAGAACUCACGGGGCGGAAACUGACGCUGAAGUGCGAAAGCUAGGGGAGUAAACAGG